UACGAAGGGGGCUAGCGUUGUUCGGAAUCACUGGGCGUAAAGCGCGUGUAGGUGGAUAUGUAAGCUAGAGGUGAAAGCCCGGGGCUCAACCCCGGAACUGCCUUUAGAACUGCAUAUCUGGAGUAUUGGAGGGGAGUGCGGAAUUCCUAAUGUAGAGGUGAAAUUCGUAGAUAUUAGGAGGAACACCGGUGGCGAAGGCGGCACUCUGGACAAUUACUGACACUGAGACGCGAAAGCGUGGGGAGCAAACAGG
rnacentral:rRNA from 1 species